rnacentral:rRNA from 1 species
UGGGGAAUUUUGGACAAUGGGCGAAAGCCUGAUCCAGCAAUGCCGCGUGUGUGAAGAAGGCCUUCGGGUUGUAAAGCACUUUUGUCCGGAAAGAAAUCCUUGGCUCUAAUACAGUCGGGGGAUGACGGUACCGGAAGAAUAAGCACCGGCUAACUACGUGCCAGCAGCCGCGGUAAUACGUAGGGUGCAAGCGUUAAUCGGAAUUACUGGGCGUAAAGCGUGCGCAGGCGGUUUGCUAAGACCGAUGUGAAAUCCCCGGGCUCAACCUGGGAACUGCAUUGGUGACUGGCAGGCUAGAGUAUGGCAGAGGGGGGUAGAAUUCCACGUGUAGCAGUGAAAUGCGUAGAGAUGUGGAGGAAUACCGAUGGCGAAGGCAGCCCCCUGGGCCAAAUACUGACGCUCAUGCACGAAAGCGUGGGGAGCAAAGCAGGAUUAGAUACCCUGGUAGUCCACGCCUAAACGAUGUCACUAGUUGUUGGGGAUUCAUUUCCUUAGUAACGUAGCUAACGCGUGAAGUUGACCGCCUGGGGAGUACGGUCGCAAGAUUAAAACUCAAAUGAAUUGACGGGGUCAUA